AAAAGGCAUUUAUGAUAUAAUAUAUAGAAUUAUGUAUAGAGCUACUAUACUAUCGGAAAUAUAAAGCAUUUGAUGCUUCCGAUUUUUCGACUCUUGCACUACAACAGAAUUAGGUUAUAGGGACACAUGUUUGGGACACUUUUGAGUAAGUGUCCCAUUUAUACUAAAACUUAAAAAAAUAUCUACUAAUGCCUAAAUAUAAAGCCCAAUCCAACCAAAAAUAAAAGAUUACUCUACUCAACCCACCACACCCAGUCCAUUUGGCCCGAUUACAAACAGAAAAGAAAAAAAAAAAGAAAAAUUAAUUACCAUAUUUUCUUCUCUCUUCACUCAAUCCACUGAAAUUCAAGACGAAGAGCCAUUCCUGUCGUCCUCCUCCGCCACCGCAGCCAACGAGAUAGAGUUUCGGCGGUUGCUAAAUGCUUAAAUAAGUUGUUGGUAAAUUAGCAACAUUCUUUUAGGUUAUAGCGACACUCUUUAACUGUCACUAUAUACCUAGCGACCCCACAUAUAGCAACACUUUUUAAAAGUGUCGGUAAUUUUAACUAGUAGCACUUUUUUGACAUGUACCUAUAUUUAAAAGUGUCGCUAUAGACCGUUUUUGUUGUAGUGUUGGAUCAAAAAUUGUACGAUUGGAAUGAUUGUAUGGUCCCUACAGGGUAAUAGUAUUAAUCCAAAGAUUAGAAAUGAUUAAAAAGACUGAUAUAAGGGCCAAAGAGUCAGAAGCAUUAAAUCCUCUAUAUUUCCGAUAGUAUAAUAACUCUACUUUAGAAUUAUAUAGGUAAUAUUGAUAUUGAUAAUUUAAAUGAUAUUUUUAUAAUUUGGAGGGGUAUAUUUGAAAUUAU
rnacentral:lncRNA from 1 species